rnacentral:rRNA from 1 species
GAUGAACGCUAGCUACAGGCUUAACACAUGCAAGUCGAGGGACCGGUGCACGGGUGAGUAACACGUAUCCAACCUGCCCUUUACUCGGGGCUAGCCUUUCGAAAGAAAGAUUAAUACCCGAUAUAAAGGAUGGGGAUGCGUUCCAUUAGGUUGUUGGUGAGGUAACGGCUCACCAAGCCUUCGAUGGUUAGGGGUUCUGAGAGGAAGGCCCCCCGCAGUUGAACUGAGACACGGUCCAAACUCCGAGGGGAGGCAGCAGUAAGUAAUAUUGGUGAAUGGGCGCUAGCCUGAACAAGCCAAGUAGCGUGAGAGAUGAAGGGUUAGGGGACGUAAACUUCUUUUAUGUAAGAAUAUGUAUUAUAUGAAUAAGGAUCGGCUAACUCCGUGCCAGCCGCCGCGGUAAUUC